rnacentral:rRNA from 1 species
UAUGGAGGAUGCAAGCGUUAUCUGGAUUUAUUGGGUUUAAAGGGUGCGCAGGUUGUUUGAUAAGUCAGUGGUGAAAGUCUGUCGCUUAACGGUAGGAUUGCCAUUGAUACUGUUAGACUUGAAUAUGGAUGAGGUAGGCGGAAUGUGUAGUGUAGCGGUGAAAUGCAUAGAUAUUACACAGAACACCGAUUGCGAAGGCAGCUUACUAAUCCAUCAUUGACGCUGAGGCACGAAAGCGUGGGGAU